GCUGGGCGUGGUGCCGCGCGUCUGUAAUCCCAGCUACUCAGGAGGCUGAGGCAGUAGAAUCACUUGAACCCAGGAAGCAGAGGUUGCAGUGAGCUGAGAUUGGGCCACUGCACUCCAGCCUGGGUGACACAGUGAGACUCUGUCUCAA
rnacentral:SRP_RNA from 1 species